CAGUAGCCACGGUAAUACGGAGGGAGCUAGCGUUGUUCGGAAUUACUGGGCGUAAAGCGCACGUAGGCGGCUUGGUAAGUUAGAGGUGAAAGCCCGGAGCUCAACUCCGGAAUUGCCUUUAAGACUGCCGAGCUAGCAGGUGAGAGAGGUAAGUGGAAUUCCGAGUGUAGAGGUGAAAUUCGUAGAUAUUCGGAAGAACACCAGUGGCGAAGGCGGCUUACUGGCUCAUACUGGACGCUGAGGUGCGAAAGCGUGGGGAGCAAACAGGAUUAGAUACCCGUGUAGUCCCUGUCUCUUAUAC
rnacentral:rRNA from 1 species